GAUGAACGCUAGCUACAGGCCUAACACAUGCAAGUCGUGGGGCAGCGGGUAUUACUUGUUUCCAAGUAUAUGCCCGGCGACCGGCGCACGGGUGAGUAACGCGUACCCAACCUGCCCAUCACAAGGGAAUAACCCGUCGAAAGUCGGCCUAAUACCCUAUGUAUUCCGAUGAAGUCCUCUGAAUCGGAAUAAAGCAUUUGCGGUGAUGGAUGGGGAUGCGUCUGAUUAGCUUGUCGGCGGGGUAACGGCCCACCGAGGCGACGAUCAGUAGGGGUUCUGAGAGGAAGGUCCCCCACAUUGGAACUGAGACACGGUCCAAACUCCUACGGGAGGCAGCAGUGAGGAAUAUUGGUCAAUGGGCGUGAGCCUGAACCAGCCAAGUAGCGUGCAGGAUGACGGCCCUAUGGGUUGUAAACUGCUUUUAUACGGGGAUAAAAGGUGAACGU
rnacentral:rRNA from 1 species